rnacentral:rRNA from 1 species
GAUGAACGCUGGCGGCGUGCCUAAUACAUGCAAGUCGAGCGAACGGACGAGAAGCUUGCUUCUCUGAUGUUAGCGGCGGACGGGUGAGUAACACGUGGAUAACCUACCUAUAAGACUGGGAUAACUUCGGGAAACCGUAGCUAAUACCGGAUAAUAUUUUGAACCGCAUGGUUCAAAAGUGAAAGACGGUCUUGCUGUCACUUAUAGAUGGAUCCGCGCUGCAUUAGCUAGUUGGUAAGGUAACGGCUUACCAAGGCAACGAUGCAUAGCCGACCUGAGAGGGUGAUCGGCCACACUGGAACUGAGACACGGUCCAGACUCCUACGGGAGGCAGCAGUAGGGAAUCUUCCGCAAUGGGCGAAAGCCUGACGGAGCAACGCCGCGUGAGUGAUGAAGGUCUUCGGAUCGUAAAACUCUGUUAUUAGGGAAGAACAUCUGUGUAAGUAACUGUGCACAUCUUGACGGUACCUAAUCAGAAAGCCACGGCUAACUACGUG